ACUUGUGUGAUACAUAUAUGUUUCUUAUCAGAUUUAAUGAAUGAAGUUUUGGUGCAUUUUAAGGCUACAAAAGUAUCAUCAGGUGCAUUCUAACCAUUGGUAUUUUUCCUGGCAACAUUUCUAUUCUAGUCUGUGAUAAAUUAUAAAUUUAAAAAAAUGUUUGUAAUGUUUCAGUUAUUAACAAGUAGAACCAUGCCAACCAGUUCUGAUGAUGUACCAGAAUGGCUCAAGGAUCAUACUUAUACUAUUUCUACUCUCUGGGCAGACAUUAAUAAUAUUGGCAUCCAUUCAAUAUUUAUUUUAUGUUUGGAAAUGCAAGAAAAAGGCAUGCAUUCCUGACAAGUCAAUGAUUGGUUGCACCUCUUGAAGAUAACUUUCUGUUAUGAGAAAAGAUGAGAUUCUUGGACUCCUGCAUAGCACCACCAGAAAGGAAAAUCCCAUCAUGUUGCAAAAUAAAAGUCUUGGACCAAUUUUAAUUUAAGAUAUAUUUAUUAUACUGUAAGCUCUAUACAUAUUUAUGUAUAUCCUGUCAUUCAGCCAACAGGUUUGGAUUUAGUAUUUCUUUAAAUCUGUUUGAUAUUGUACUUGAAAACUAUUAAUCUGAGCCCCAUUAAAACAAUAGUGAGUGCAGUGAAUGAGUGGUAAAGCACUUGGCUUCUGAACUGAGGGUUCCUGGGUUCGAUUAAGACUGGGAUUUUCAAUUUCAGAAUUCAAAAGGCUACAUGGCAAUAGUAAGGAAUAA